rnacentral:rRNA from 1 species
GGCGGACGGGUGAGUAAUGUAUAGUUAAUCUGCCCUUUAGAGGGGGAUAACAGUUGGAAACGACUGCUAAUACCCCAUACUCCUUUUAUAUUAAUUGUAAUUGGGAAACGUUUUUUCGCUAAAGGAUGAGACUAUAUGGUAUCAGGUAGUUGGUGGGAUAAGAGCCUACCAAGCCAAUGACGCCUAGCUGGUCUGAGAGGAUGAUCAGCCACACUGGAACUGAGACACGGUCCAG